CUUCCCCCUCUGCAGUAACAAUAACUCCGUUCGCUUAAUCUGUAGUAUACGAACCAAAUGCAGGGGAAGCGGCAAUCUCCCAACCGAGAUCCGUGAACGGCUCCAAACUCCCGAACGGCAAUACACGAACUGCUGGUCACCGUCGAACAGCAAUAUUCCCCAAGCGGCUUCCGUUCCAUCCAGCAGUCUCUAAACGUGAAGAAGAAAUCCCCC